rnacentral:lncRNA from 1 species
UUAGAAUUAAAUUAAGAAAACAAUAUUAUUUCUGACACAUUUACAAAGACACCAAAAGCUGCUAAUAAAUCUAUACAAUGUAAUAGGCUUUGAUGAAUGUCAAAGACUAAAACUCUAAGAAAGCAUUUGAGGGCAAAAAGAAUAACUAUGCCACAGCUAUUAUUUUCCUAUAUUUUUUUCUUAUUCUUUGAUUAAAAUUAAAAUUACAGCUUGUGUAUAACUGUGAGGUUCCCAUUGAUGCCGCAACCGUUUGGAGCUUUACAUAAGCAAGGGACUUUGAAUUCAUCUGGCUCAUCCGGAUCAAACAAGUAGUCAUACCUGUCAGGGACUAAAAUGAUGAUUCACUCCAAAAUGCAUGGUGAAAUGAUACAGGAAAGCAUAGAUAGGGAAUAUACGUUAGCUCAUCACCAGCAGAUACGUUAGUCUUGGCAAUGAGGGCGAUCCGGCUCUCGUCAUGACCCACACUCAUGAUCCUUGCAUAGCAAUUUGGCAUACACUGUAUUAACAUAAAUCAAGAAGGGGUAAGAUGACAUGACUAAUAACCAUUAACCAGUAAUAUGUACUAAAACGAAUAAACAUAGGCCGAUAUCAGCUGUUUUCAAGAUUGCCAAUUGAGUUUUUAAAAGGAACAGUCUCACAGGUUCUUGCAAUGAAAAGUGAGCAGUGAACUGUAGGUUGACUUACAGAAUGGUUAAUUAGCCGUGCAAUAUUUCCUUUAUCAGUUGCAUCAACUACCACCUCUUCACUAAUUUUGAACAGCUGCCAAAAAAAGAAGCCAGAAGAAUUUAAUGUGAUAAAAUGUUAACAAUUAAGAUGCACAGAAAAAAUCAGCAUCAAAACAGAGGGAAAAUAAUAGAGCAGAGGAAACCAAAGUGGACAAAAAUAAAGUCAAGGACAAGAGGAUGAAAUCAUCAGAAAAGGGGGAGAAUUAACUUACAUAGCAGUCUUUCCUUUCUAAUUUAUACCGCGCCUCCCUUAGAUCGGCAACGCUGCGCCUUACUUGUUCACCACGAUAUUCAAGGACCUGCAUUGGAUAAAAUCAUACUCAUUAUUUCUACAAUAAAAGUUCUACUGAUUAGAUGGAAAACAGAAACACAAAGGAUCACAGGAUAAUGAUGUUAUGUUUUGGCAAAUAUUAAAUCCAUAAUUUAUGUCUAAUUUUAUCGCAAGGUUACGCAUAUAUACUUUUAAAAAUGACAUGAUUAUAUAUUUUCAUCGCAAUGCUUAUCUGCCUUGUGCAAGACACGGGCUCCUACACUAGUUAU